AAAAUGCACAUUCAGUUACAGUUGUGCUCAUAAGUUUACAUACCCUAGCAGAAUUUAUGAUUCUUUGAUUUCGUUUUUCAGAGAAUAUGAAUGAUCAUACAAAAACCUUUCUUUCAAUCGUGGCCAGGGGUUGGGUGAAGCCAUUUUAUUAUCAAACAAAUGUGUUUGCUUUUUUUAAAUUAUACUGACAACAGAAACUAUCCCAAUGACCCUGAUCCAAAGUUUACAUACCCUCGUUCUUAACCCUCUGUUUUGGCCCCUUUAACAUCAAUGACAGCUUGAAGUCUUUUAUGGUAGUUGUGGAUGAGGCACUUAAUUUUCUCAGAUAGUAAAGCUGCC